rnacentral:rRNA from 1 species
CAGCAGCCGCCGCGGUAAUACGAAGGGUGCAAGCGUUAAUCGGAAUUACUGGGCGCAAAGCGUGCGUAGGCGGUGAGUUAAGUCUGCUGUGAAAUCCCCGGGCUCAACCUGGGAAUGGCAGUGGAUACUGGCUCGCUAGAGUGUGUCAGAGGAUGGUGGAAUUCCCGGUGUAGCGGUGAAAUGCGUAGAGAUCGAGAGGAACAUCAGUGGCGAAGGCGGCCAUCUGGGACAACACUGACGCUGAGGCACGAAAGCGUGGGGAGCAAACAGGAUUAGAUACCCCGGUAGUCCCUGUCUCUUAUAC